CAUCUGUCGUUCCCUUCAGCGGCCAGUCCGGCCCAAACCACGACAGAUUGAUUGGUGCCCAAGGUGGGGCUCGACCAGGGCUCUGACAGAUUGCCUCAAUAGUUUGAGUUCCAGCUUGCCCAGAGAUGGAAACAGGCAGCUCACACCCUAUUGGUUUUGGACAGAAUAUUGUGUUGUCUCUUUGUAGGGUUUUGUUUCAAGUUAGUUGAUACAACGCUGCUUAACCUGCUGUAUGCGUUGUAUAAUUUAUUUGCUCUUUGUGUUUGUAUGCGGUGGUUUAAACAUGCUAGUCUGCUGUUGUGUUUAAUGCUGAUCCGUGCUGUGACUGAUGGGAUAACUUCUUUACCUGCUUCCCUUGGGCGUUGUGUAAUGGUUUCUGUUACUAAUUACACUUUCAACUUUACCUUGGGAAAGUUUACUUUGCUCUAUACUGCUCAUUCCGAAUUGUCACCAUCAGAGCUAGGAGAUGGCUGCCUUUGGGAUCUCGGAAAUGGUUGUUGCUUGCUUAAAAUCAUGAUUUUGUUGUUGAUUAUCCUGAAUGUGUUGCAGGGGUGGUUUCUUACUAAAUGUUGUUGCAGGAGUAGGUAUUGUAUGACGUGCACUGCCACUACUCAAACUCCAUCAGCACUGGUACAAGUUGCCCCGGUGACCAGAAAGGAAAAAAAAAAAAUGGGGUCUGUUCGCUCCCCUGCCUGUUAUGACAAAGACCAGAUAAAGCCAGAUACCCUGCUGUCUGAUGAAGAAGAUGGGAAUUGGUCCUUCUGAUGAAGAUCCAGGAAUGGGUCCCUUCUAAAGCAGAUCAGAGGGUCCUUCUCGGGCAGUGUCAACACAGGAGGAGGAAUCAGACGGAGGGGUAAUUGUUAAAUCCUUCUCUGUGAAGGACUUGUGAAAUAUGAGAAAGGACUUUAGCUGCCGUGAAGGGGCAGCUGUGUAAAAAGUGACUGAUAAAACUGAGAAAAUGAUUGAAAAAAAAUGAGAAACUGUUUGAUAGACUGUUUAGGAUGGCAGAAAGAUCCCGCUCUUCCCCUGCAUGGACCCACGUCACAGCCGUUAGGAGAAGAUGCCCUCUUAGGAAGCUGGCUCAAGAGAGACAGAACAUACUACGAGAUAUCCUGUGGCUUUGCCUCAGUGACUAUGGAGAGGACAUGAGGAAGCGGGAUAGAAGACCUCCCUCGGCCCUACAGGCAGGAGUGUGUGAGUUGCAAGGUACAAGAGAAAGAAGAAAGAAUUCUUCCAGGAGGAUGACUGCUCCGGCCCACACGGAGCGGUUUUCUGCUCCGAGUAGGAACUCAUCUGCUAAUUGUAGAUGUUGAGCCAAGGAGUGAUCAGCAAGACUCGCUCACCCUUUUAACAGCCCUGUAUGGCCAGUGCAAAAGUGUGACGGAGACUGGAGAUUAACAGUAGACUAUCGUGGCCUGAAUGAAGUCACAGCACCACUGAGUGCUGCCGUGCCGGACUUGCUAGAACUGCAAGAUGAACUGGAGUCAAAGGCAGCCAAAUGGUAUGCUACGAUUGACGUUCCUCAUGCAUUUUUCUCUAUUCCUUUAGCAGCGGAGUGCAGGCCACAGUUUGCUUUCACCUGGAGAGGCGUCCAUUACACCUGGAAUCGACUGCCCCGGGGUGGAAACACAGCCCUGCUAUUUGCCGUGGACGGAUCCAGACUGCACUGGAGACGGCUGGAGCUCCGGAACACCUGCAGUGCAUUGAUGACAAUCUUGUGUGGGGUAAUAGAGCAGCAGAAGUUGUUAAGAAAGCUUUUGAGCGCGAAGUCCACCACAUAACCCACCAAAACGGCCGCUGUCACAACCGGGAACACCCCCAGCACUGGCUCUUUCAUGGAGAGGAAACAGGCUGUUUUAUUGUCCCUGGCCCUCUCCGAGCCCUUCCCAUCUCUGUGCCUGACCCCGCAGGCUCUUGUCCGCUGGAUUUUUGCCAGGACCCAUGAGUGACCGUGGACAGAUGCAGCACUGGCUGCUGGCUGCAACGUUUCCCGGAUGCGGGUGCUGCCUGCGCCCUGGCAGCUCCCUGGGGCUCUGCUGCGUGCUGGGCAUGACGGCCACUCGCUUGCAGGGCUGCCGGCGUUGGGGGAACCAGCUGACAUUGCGGCUGCUCCCACUGCUUGUCCCAUUCUACACCGCAGCGUGAUGAGUGGUGUUUUACUGCAGAUGUGGGUGGUGUUUGUGCUGAAGUAAAACAAACUAAAGGACGUCCAGGCCCUGGACAUGAAGACUUUGCUGUGUGGAAGCCGAGAGCUGUCCCUGAAGGACAACGGACACCCCAGGACAUCCAAGCCUCUCUCCUCGGACGGCACGAUCCGGGUGUGGAUGUACGGACCGGUGCUGGGCCCUGCUCUGCUCCUCUGCUCCGGGGCCUCACGCAGGCAGCUGCGUUCAAAAUGUGCUGCGGUGGGAGCAGAGGCCACUCCAGGGACCCGCCCCGGCUCCUGCAGCCCCGUCGGUGGACAGUGAAGCCGGGCAGAGGGAGCGAUGCCAUCCCAGAGCUGCUGGUCCCUCGGGAGGUGUUGGUGGCCCCGGUGAUGCCUGUGUCGGUGCCCAUGUGCGGGGAAGGCUCAUCCCGGUGCCCAGGCGAGGAGCGUGGCCCCGGGGCGGGGGAGGCCGUGCCUGGUGAGGGAUGGACGGAAGACCCCCAGCCACACCGGGACCUGCGUGGGGUAAGGAGCCCUGGGAAGGAGCCGGGCUGCCUGCGCUGAGGCUGAUGCUGACACCUGCCCUGCACCUGGUUGGGGACAGGGGACAGUGCGGCUUGCGCCCCCCCGGAGACCUGUGAGGACUGCAGCGCUCCAGGUCCGUAUGGCUUCAGGUCGGUUCUUUGGGCCCCCAUUUGUUUCGGGUCCAGCUCGGUUUGGGCCCCCGUUUGUUUCUCUUUGUUUGUGGGUUCGCUCCCAUUUGUUCCCAUUUGUUCCAGGUCCAGCUCAUUUGUGGCUCCUGUUUGUUUCUGCUCUGGUUCCAGUCCAGCUGAUGGAUGGCUCCAGCUCCAUUCCAGCUCAUGGAUGGCUCUGGCUCAUUUCAGCUCCUGUUUGCUGUGCCUCCAGCUCAUUUGCACCUUCAGUUUUGGCUCCAGCUCGUUUGCGGCUCCUGUUUGUUUCUCCUCUGAAUUCAGUCCGGCUGAUGGACGGCUCCAGCUCAAUUCCAACUCAUUUGGACUCCAGCUCAUGGAUGGCUCUGGCUCGUUUCAGCCCUUGCUCGUUGCAGCUACAGCUCAUUUGCCCCUUCAGGUCCAGCUCCUGGUGGGUUUCAUCUCCUGGGCAGUUUUGGCUCCAGCCCAUCUCCAGCUCCAGCCCAUUGAUGGUUCCAGCUCGUUUUCGCCUCCAGCUCUUGGGUGGUUCCAGCCCCAGCCCAUCACAGCUUGUGCUUGUUCAACUGCUCCUGGCUUUUGGCCAGGUCGUAAAUCAAUCACUGUCAUGGCCUGUAUAUGAAUAUGAACUGUCAUAAUUGUACACGUGUUGCCUAAUGAGUGUGUUUAUUGUUCAAUGACUAGUCCGGUGAAUAAACAGUUGGACUCUCAAAUGAAGUGGGAAAAGUGCCUUUUCGCCCAGAGACUAUCUCAGGCGUUUAAUUCGGCCUGGUGCAUGCCGGCGUCCCGCACUUUGGGGAACAACGC